UUGCGCCGUUAUAUGCCGAGGGAGGAGGGAGAGACGGACGCAGCCUCCAUCCCGCUCUCUGCAUCUCAGCGCGUGCGCGUGCGCGCGCGGCAAAGAAUAGUGCACUGGUGAGGACGUGGGCGAGGGGCGGGUGAGGAGGGGGGGGGGUUGUCUCUGAACUGGUUUGUCUCUCGGUGAGGAGGAUCCUCGGUUUGUUGAUGCCCGACGAUGCGGCACGAAGGUAAAGCGGCGGCGAUGCGUCCGAUAGGAGCGACGUGGCAGCAGGUGCGUCCCAACGGCGCGCAGACUGACAAAGAGUGUGUUGCGGCUGGGGGGGGAGGUGGUGGGGGGGUCCCGAUGUAAGACACCAAGGGACCACACCCUGAUAUGAAGGACAUUUUUAAAUGGGACUGGUAGUUGCGCUGGUUUCUCUGACGGUCUCUGCUGCACUGCGGUGACACCCCCCCCCCCAACACACACACACACACACACACACACACACAUUAGAUCCAGCAGCGACAAUAGCGGCUUUUUACGCGCGACUGUGGUGGCGAUGACUCUGCAUCCGCCCCCCCCCCCCCCCUCCCCUCCCUCCCUCCAUCGGUCCCUGUAAUUGACCACGACUGUUAUCAUACAACCAAGCUUCAUGAACAAAAUCUCUGCAUGAUGACUGCUGAAGUGUUUGUGUUAGUUUUCCUCCACAUCUUGUAAUGUAAUGAUGAAUAAAGUGCGCGGCGCCGUUGUAGCGCAUCACCUCCACGUGCAGAAAUCCCUUAUUGAAUAUUAUGCAAUAAAUAUGUCGUCGCCGCCGCGGUUUAGAAAACAAGACGAGUCUAAUAUUUUAACAUUAAGUCCGCAGCGUGUUUGUUUGUUUGUCUGUUUGUUUGUUUGCUGUGUCUUCGUGGGCGUGCGGAGCCUCGCAGAGCCACGUUCGCACAGCAGAACUUGUUUGAACCGGAUCAUCGGAGGCAACCCGCUAUUGACAAGGCUGCAUCCACCCACUCCCCCCCCCCCCCCCCCCCCCCCCCCUCCUCAAGGUAUCCUCACCCCCUCCUCCUCCCACCGCGGGGGGCGCCGGCAGGAGGGAGUCAGGUGAUAAACUGCGGAGUUCUAAAGUCAUCACAUUCUCUGCUCAUCCCGGACGUUUGCUCCGCAAAAAUGUGUCCAGAGGUGGAUUUCAGCGCGUCAGCACCUGCACCGCCCCGCCACGCCGAGCGGCUGGAAGAUGCUGCGAGCAUGCGCAGUGUCCGUUUUUCACCGACCGCUUCAGGGGCCGUCGGUAAUGUCGCCACCGAGCGAAACAAAGUUUCUAAAAAUGUCUUUAUUUUCGUGGAUUUAGAAGCAAAUGACGGAAAACAGCAACUAUAGCUACCCAUGACACACGCCAAAGUGACAAAUAUGAUCUCAAACUGCUGUCUUUAUUUUGCCACGGUACUAAUCAAGUCUGUAUGACAUCCACCAAAACAUUGUUCCCAUAUAUUUCCAUUUUGUCAAACAUUAAUAACUCUACGCUCUGCGUGUCUAAUAAGGGAUCAGCUUGAAGAUAUUUUGAAACUAUUUACCAUCUACAAUACAUUAUUUUAAAAUAAAAAGAGCCUUUUGCCAACAAGUUGACCUUUUCCAUCAGUUUCCAUCACCAAAUCUUUAUUUUCAAUAUAUUAAAAACAGAGAUUUGCGAUACACAAAUGACUCUCACCUUCACCUUCAAAGAGUACAUACUGACUAUGGCAGAUGGAUUUUCUACACUGUAGGCAAAUCACAAGUGAUGUUUGGAACAUCGUUAAACUCUAUAUGUAUUUAUUACUAAUGACUAACUGGAUCAAACGGUUGACUCAGUGAGAUUUCCCUGCAAAGGGAUGAACUACAGACUAUUAUGUGCAAGAACCCUGAGCGUGCUUCUCCGUUACUCCUCACAUGAACGGACUUGUUGAAAACAGAGACUCGCAUAUUGUUCUAAUAAUCUAGCGCGUGACCUCUGACACUUUGAGAUUCCCUGCGUCUGAGGACCCUCCCGCCCCCCUAAAGAUCACAAUGCCAGUCUCCUGCCUCUGCUCCGGCUGUGACCUCUUGACCCUUUUCAGGACCCCGCUCCUCAGCGUGCUUCCCACAGUGUGUGCGAGCUGCAGCAGACCCACCCAUGAAGUAGCUCAGAGCGACCCCGCCUAAAGGGAAGGAAUGGGAGGAGCUGCCUUUGACCCCCGUUGCUAUGGAUGAUGUCAGCAUUGAGACGCCUCAUGAAUACUUCCUGCUGUGGAGGGAUCAGGGGUUUCUUAACCUUGGAUGGGAAAGGAGAUUAACUCCUUUUAUAUACUGAAAACAUGAAGAGAGACACGUGGAAUAGGUUUAACCGCCAUAUAUUUAUACCUAAUUUAAUACUGAGAUAUUAAAGGAAGAUUUUGUCUAGUGACGAGAUAGUGCAACAAACUUCUGUUAAGAUCUAUACUUAAAUCAUCUUAAAAUAGAAAUGAGCUGGAAACUCAUUGGAUAUGAACGAAUUCAUUCAUUUAGUCAUGCGCUUUCUAUCGAGGACAUGUGGAAAAACGGGUAUCUUCAAUUUCUUUACUAAUGAAAUUUCCAUUGAAGGCCUAUAAAUAAAAUGUACUUUUUUUUCGAAAUAUUACAUUACACUUAUUUGUGUGUAUUAAAUGUCACCACCACUGGC